rnacentral:rRNA from 1 species
UGCCAGCCGCCGCGGUAAUACGGAGGGUGCAAGCGUUAAUCGGAAUUACUGGGCGUAAAGAGUACGUAGGCGGCUUUUCAAGUCGGAUGUGAAAGCCCUGAGCUUAACUCAGGAACUGCAUUCGAUACUGGAUCGCUAGAGUAUAUUAGAGGAUAGUGGAAUUUCAAGUGUAGCGGUGAAAUGCGUAGAUAUUUGAAGGAACACCAAUGGCGAAGGCAGCUAUCUGGAAUAAUACUGACGCUGAGGUACGAAAGCGUGGGGAGCAAACAGGAUUAGAUA